GGGCGCAUAGCUCAGGAGCAGAGCGACUGACUUUUAAUCAGCAGGUCCAGGGUUCAAUUCCCUGUGCACCCA
rnacentral:tRNA from 1 species